AUGCUCCAAAUGGGACUUAUACAGAAUAGCACUAGCUCGUUUGCAUCUCCGGUGUUGUUGGUGAAGAAGAAGGAUGGUUCAUGGCGUUUUUGUGUUGACUAUAGGCACCUCAAUAAUAUUACAGUUAAGAAUAAAUACCCAAUGCCAAUGAUCGAUGAGCUUCUUGAUGAAUUGUCCGGUGCAAAUUGGUUUACCAAACUAUAUCUCAAAUCUGGGUACCAUCAAAUUCGGCUAGUGCGUCGUGAAGAACACAAGUCAACUUUUAAAACACACCAAGGGUUGUAUGAGUUCAAGCAUCAGUUGUAUAUCAAGAAGAGUAAAUGUUCCUUUGCCCAAAAGCAACUUGAGUACUUGGGUCACAUCAUCAGUCACAAAGGGGUCGCUACUGACCCUUCGAAGAUCCAAGCUGUCGCUCAGUGGCCUACACCGACAACUGUCAAGCAAGUUAGGGGAUUUCUUGGGUUAACGAGUUAUUAUCGCAAGUUCAUAAAACAUUAUGGGAUCAUCAGUCGAGUAUUGUCAGAUUUGCUCUGUAAAGAUACCAUGUAUUGUUGGACAAACAAGGAAGAUGAAGCUUUUCAACAUUUGAAAUCAGCUCUUACUCAAGCCCCUGUCUUGGCUCUACCAAAUUUCAAAUUGCCAUUUGUUGUCAAAACAGAUGCAAGCAAGUAUGGUAUUGGUGUUGUACUGAUGCAACAAGGGCAUCCGAUCAGUUUUCUCAGCAAGGCUUUGGGACCCAAGACGCAAGGCUACUCCACUUAUGAGAAGGAGUGUCUUGCUAUCUUGAUGGCAGUGGAGAAAUGGCGGCCUAUAUCUCCGCUUUCCCCUCUUCUCAUCUACAGAACUCUGUGUUCUUGUGCUGAAUCCUUUGUGUGA
rnacentral:rRNA from 1 species